rnacentral:lncRNA from 1 species
GGGUUGGGUUGGAAGGGUCCUGGAAGCUCACAGAGCCAUGGGAUGGUUGUGUUGGGUUGGGUUGGGUUGGAAGGGUCCUGGAAGCUCACAGAGCCGUGCAACCCCUUCCCCAGAUGUGCGUGACGUACUCCAAGCAGUUCACCCAGCUGGGGAACAUCGUGGAGACAAUCAAGUUGGAGCAGCUGGCGGAGGAAUGCCGGCGCAGCAUGGAGCUGCUGAAGCUGAGCCACGCGCGGGGCGGCCCCGUGCCCAGGCACCGCUACGAGCAGAGGACCUUCAACGUCAUCAAGUGGGGUCCCCCCCCCCUCUGCUUUGGGGUCCCCCCCCUCUGCUUUGGGAUCCCCCCCCCUCUGCUUUGGGGUCCCCCUUCUGCUUUUUGGGCUCCUUUCUCUGCUCUUUGGGGUCCGCCCUCCGCUUUGGGGUCCCCCCUCCGCUUUGGGUUCCCCCCUCUGCUUUGGGGAUCCCCCUUAGUUUUGGGCAUCCUUCCUCCACUUUGGGGUCCCCCCUUUUGCUUUGGGGCACCACCUCUACUUUUGGGGUUCGCUCUCUGCCCUUACGGGUCCCCCCCUGCUUUAGGGGUCCCCCCCUCUGCUUUAUGGGGGUCUGCUCUUCGCUUUGGGGUCCCCCCUCUGCUUUUGGGUCCCCCCUCUGCUUUUGGGUCCCCCCUCUGCUUUUGGGUUCCCCCUCUGCUUUUGGGGUCCCCUCUUUGCUUUUGGGGUCCCCCUUCUGCUUUUUGGGCUCCUUUCUCUGCUCUUAGGGGUUCCCCCCUCUCCUUUAUGCGGGUCCCCCCUCUGCUUUAGGGUCCCCCCUCUGCUUUAGGAUUCCUCCCUUCUGCUUUAUGGGGGUCUGCUCUCUUCUUUGGGGUCCCCCCCUCCUCUUUGGGGUCCCCCCCUCCUCUUUGGGGUCCCCCCCCUCUGUGGGUCCCCCCAUUNGUUGGAAGGGUCCUUGAAGGUCAUGGGAGCAUGGAAUGGUUGGGUUGAAUUGGAAGGGUCCUUGAAGGUCUUAGAACCAUGGGAUGGUUGGGUUGGGAGGGUCCUUGAAGACCAUAGAACGCUGGAACAGGUCAGAAAGGUCCUUGCAGGUCAUGGGACCAUGGACUGGUUGGGUUGGGUUGGAGGAGUCCUUGAAGAUCAUAAGAUCAGGGAAUGGGUUGGAAGGGUCCUUGAAGGUCAUAGAACCAUGGGAUGGUUGGGGUGGGUUGGGAGGGUCCUUGAAGGCCAUAGAAUCAUGGAAGAGGUUGGAAAGGUCCUUGCAGGUCGUGGGACCAUGGAAUGGUUGGGUUGGGUUGGAGGAGUCCUUGAAGAUCAUAGGAUCAUGGAAUGGGUUGGAAAGGUCCUUGAAGGCCACAGGACCAUGGAAUGGUUGGGUUGGGUUGGGUUGGAGGGGUCCUUGAAGGCCAUAGAAUCAUGGAAGAGGUUGGAAAGGUCCUUGCAGGUCGUGGGACCAUGGAAUGGUUGGGUUGGGUUGUGUUGGGUUGGAGGGGUCUUUGAAGGUCAUAGAACCAUGGAACGUGUUGGGUUGGGUUGGGAGGGUCCUUGAAGGCCAUGGAACAGGUUGGAAAGGUCCUUGCAGGUCAUGGGACCGUGGAACGGUUGGGUUGGGUUGGGAUGGAAGGGUCCUUGAAGGCCAUAGAACCAUGGAACGCGUUGGAUUGGGUUGGGGGGGUCCUUGAAGGCCAUAGAAGAGGUUGGAAAGGUCCUUGCAGGUCAUGGGACCGUGGAACGGUUGGGUUGUGUUGUGUUGGGAUGGGAGGGUCC